AAAAACCUAACACCGCAUGGUGUAGGGUUGAAAGAUGGGUUUCGGCCAUCACUUUAGGAUGGACCCCGCGGUGCAUUAGUUAGUUGGUGAGGUAAAGGCUCACCAAGACCGUGAUGCAUAGCCGACCUGAGAGGUAAUCGGCCACACUGGGACUGAGACACGGCCCAGACUCCUACGGGAGGCAGCAGUAGGGAAUCUUCCACAAUGGACGAAAGUCUGAUGGAGCAACGCCGCGUGAGUGAAGAAGGUUUUCGGAUCGUAAAACUCUGUUGUUGGAGAAGAAUGUAUCUGAUAGUAACUGAUCAGGUAGUGACGGUAUCCAACCAGAAAGCCACGGCUAACUACGUG
rnacentral:rRNA from 1 species